GAUGAACGCUGGCGGCGUGCCUAAUACAUGCAAGUCGAGCGAACGGACGAGAAGCUUGCUUCUCUGAUGUUAGCGGCGGACGGGUGAGUAACACGUGGAUAACCUACCUAUAAGACUGGGAUAACUUCGGGAAACCGGAGCUAAUACCGGAUAAUAUUUUGAACCGCAUGGUUCAAAAGUGAAAGACGGUCUUGCUGUCACUUAUAGAUGGAUCCGCGCUGCAUUAGCUAGUUGGUAAGGUAACGGCUUACCAAGGCAACGAUGCAUAGCCGACCUGAGAGGGGGGUCGGCCACACUGGAACUGGGACACGGUCCAGACUCCUACGGGAGGCAGCAGUAGGGAAUCUUCCGCAAUGGGCGAAAGCCUGACGGAGCAACGCCGCGUGAGUGAUGAAGGUCUUCGGAUCGUAAAACUCUGUUAUUAGGGAAGAACAUAUGUGUAAGUAACUGUGCACAUCUUGACGGUACCUAAUCAGAAAGCCACGGCUAACUACGUG
rnacentral:rRNA from 1 species